AAUUGUUAGUCUUUUGAUUAAUAUAAUUCAUGAAUUGAUGUGUUUGAAGUUGGAUUGAUGGAUUACGUGGGAACUACGAAUUAUGGAUUUUGUGAUUGAUUGAGAACCCUUUUAUCUGAUACUUGCUAAGAAAAGGUAGAUGAAUUGUUGAGAAAGAGAGAACCCGUAAGGGUAGCUAAGUCCGAGUUUUAGGGGAGGUAAUGCCAAAAUUUUAUAAAAUCUGAGGCUUAUUUGAAAAGUUAUUUUAGAAGAUUUGAAUUCGGAAAGUUAUAUUAUUUGAGUUUUAUUUAAAAAGAAUUAUACUAUUUUGAAUUUAAAUGGGAAAGAGAGAUGAUUUUUGAAUCUUUGGGAAGUUAGUAAGGAAAAAUAGACAAAAGUACACCCGGAUUUUCACACGGAGUACAGAUGUACUCCUCAAUUUUUUAAUGAGUCAUUUGUACACAUGAAUAUAAAACUCCAUUGUCAAUUCUACCCUUCCGUGACAUGAGUAAAUUUUCAGGCGAUAGUGGAGGCGAGGUGGCACGGUAUUGUAUGAUGUGGCCAAUUUGAGGUGACACUGUGGAAAAUAAAAAUAUUCAUUAUGAAAUUUGUUGAAAUAAAUAUAAGAAAAGGGAAUAAUGAAAUCACGGUUCAUCCUCUUCAUUCUCUAAUUUCUUCGAACCAUAUGAACCCUAAGACAUGGUGGAAAAAAAAUUAUUCCUUCAACCUCUUCAUUUUCCUUUAUACAUCUUCAUCCUUUCUGUUGUAACAAUGGUUUGUAAACUCUAAUGUAUGAAAAUGUCACAGUCUCAACGAAGGAAGAAUAUACCUCGUGCUUGUGCCAGUGGUUGCGGUGGCUCGUCUUUGAAAAUGCUAAACUUGAUGCUUCUUCCUAUUUGAAUAUUGUACUUCCUCACGGAGCUCUUAAACUCAUCCAUGGUAGCAAACUCCAUCCCAAGCUCCAGAUGAACUUGGCCAAAUGGUGCUAUUGGAUUUUCCUGAGGCCACACACCUUAUUCACUAUCAUAAUCAUCCUCACAAUCGGAUGACAUUGGACUGUGUAAAUCUUUAGAUUCAUACCGAUAGUAGUCAGGGUCGGAGUCACUAUCAUUAUCUGAAUUAGAGGAAUCAGGCUCCACAUGAGGAACAAAUAUCUUUGAUGCCUCAUUCCUUCCUCUUUGAACAAACCUUUGACCAGUCGGUGCUGGCCUCUUAUAUAAUACUCUUCUAUUCUUCUGACUGUUCUUAGAUUGUUAGGUGGGCACAUCAUUCUGACCUUCUUGCUGUGAAUUAUUAGGAGGUGGGACUUCUGCUUCACUUUGCUGCUGGGUCGUGUUUCGGUUGAUGUUUGGGAUUUCGGAAUGUGACAUUGGUUGGGUUGUAGGAGAAGGAUUGGGAGAUGCUGGGUUCUGAGUUUCAUUGCAACUUUGGUUGAUUUCGUUUUCUUUAUUGGCCUUCUUAACAUACAACUUUUUCGGGUAGGCUUUUUGUGGAUUGCCAUCUUACUUCUUCUUUUUGGGGUUUCUUGUGGUGUAGAUUGUUCAACGGUAUCUGUAAUUGGGCAUGGCUCAUCAUCUACAAUGUCUACCACUUCAACUUCCUCAGUUUACAAAAUGUAUACAUUUGACUGAGGUGUAUCAUUUCCAUGAUAUGAUUGACAUGCUUGUUGGGUGUGGCUACAAGAAAGGAACCACAUUGCUUGGUUAUGGUUAUGACUUCAGGCAAAGCAAUAGGUAAAUUGCUCGGCCCCUUCAGCAUAAUAUCAAGUUUAAUCAGUGAUUUAUUUAUUUGUUUAGUGGUUUUCCAAGGGUAUUCCACCUUUCAAUUAUCAAGGAAGGAAACUAAUCCCCUUCGGCAUAACUAUGUGCCUUAUUUUUGCUGGUGUUGGCAAAAUUGACAAGCUGAUGGAUGGCCUUAAAACCAAGUUGGAAACUGCUUACAAAGCCACUGGUGGAAGGAAAGUUAACUUGUUACUUUUCUUUGUUGAUGUUAUUUCUGGCUUGAAUGUAGCUCUAAUUAAUUUUUAUGAAUCUAUUUGUUUAAUUGCGUGGUUUCUCAGUUCUAGGAGUAUUAAUGCAUUCCGUUAGUGCUCACUAUUGGCUAAAACAAUGCUGCAAGUGUAAUAUGAACUUGUAUUGCCUAUGAUGAAUGUGUUUUCUUUCUUUCCUUUUAACCAAUAAUCAUUGAUCACAUACACACUACUUUUGCCGUAUGUUGCCACGAGACUAUGAGAGCAUAGGUUUUGUCUUCUCAUAAAUUUGGAAAGAAAUGACUAUAAGCUUUCUCGACUCCUUGUGUGCCUUUCUCUUGAUUUAAGUUUAUUAUGCUGAGUUUUGGUUGUUUAAAUAAUAUUGUUGAAGUAAAAUAGACCUAGAAGAAAGUCGCAUUGAAUAAUCAUGGUUGGGCAUUUCAUAAAUUACAUUUGAACCUUGAGAAGGUGUAAAUAAGAUGUUGAGUUGAAUGCACAAUUUAUACCUAACAUGCAUUAUUUAGGAUAUAAUUUUUUCCAUGAUUAAUUAUAACAUGUGAUUAACUACGAUUUCUAUACUUUAUAAUAUUUAUGCACCCUUUUUGGCUCUAAACUUAUUAUUCUUGCCGCCUAAUGAAUCUUAUUUUGGUUUAUAGAAGUAAUGUUUGACAUUUAAUGCUUCAUAUAUAGACAAAAUGGGUUUUGAUGAAAAAGAGAAAGAAAAUUCAAUUCAUUUAAGGGAUAUAUAUGGUUUGGUUAGGUUUUGUGUACUAAAUUAUAGGUACAAGGGGGAAGGUCUUGGUUCUCUGGAUCUGAAAGGUGAUAGAAAAGAGCAAAUAAUAUAAGCUCCUGAUAUGUAUAUUGGUUUUAGUUGAUUGCCCUGUUAUGAAAUUAGUGUAGCGAGUGGUAUGUGACUUGAGGGAAUAGAGGUCGUUUAAAUAUGUAUUGCAUUUGGAGGCAGGUUGAGAAAAAACAAAGGACAUGGCAUUUUCAGCGGCAGUUUUCAUUCUUCCUGCAGGCACUCUUUUCAUUCUCUCAGGCCUUAUUGUUAACACAAUGCAUGUAAUUAAUUAAGAUCCAAUCUGCAAAUUGCAUUGCUAUAUAUCCUUUCGCUUUUUUGGUUUAUGUUUUAUUAGUUCAUUUGAUAUAUCGUAGUAAAUAUCCAUUUUUUUUAACUGAGAUAGAUUUCAUUUCAAUCCAAUAUGAAAUGCCAAUAGGCAUUGAGGCAGAGAAUAUAAAAUGCCAAUAGUAAUUGGAUAUUAUUGUAUCUAUUAUGUUUUAUUAUCAUUUAUUAUAGCAAUUUGAUAUAUCAUUGAAUUAAUAUAUUUAGAGUGACAGAUAAUUAAAAGAGAAUGGAAAAAGUAAUUAAUAUAUAGUUAUUAAUUGUUUUAAUUUGUGUGGAGUUUACUUGACAACAACUUCUUCAAGCACUUGCAGCUAGGAAUGGGUCUCUUCACCUCUAAUUAGGUGCUAUUCACAAAUCCAAGGACUAUGUCAACGGUCAACUUGUUUGCAUCAAAUGAAGCAGCAUUUAACAAUGCAUUUAUUACUGCCAUCACUAAAUUGGAUAUGGUAGAGCAGGUACAGAUGGUUUUUCUGGAAAUUGGGCUAGACACUGGAACCUCAGCUCUGGGUUUCAGAAGUUUCUCUCUUCUGGAGUGUAUAUGGAAAGAAUGCAUUGCAAGCUUUUGGGGGUUUGAAUGUUUUAACUGCAGUGAUGCAUGUUAUUUAUCUUCCCUUUUAAGCUUAGUUGCUUAAUUGCAUUUAUUAUAUAUAUAUAUAUAUAUUGGUUUUUGCAAUGCUAUGUGUUUGAUUUGAA